GACGGAGGAUGCAAGCGUUAUCCGGAAUUAUUGGGCGUAAAGCGUCCGCAGGUGGCUGUUCAAGUCUGCUGUCAAAGCGCAGAGCUUAACUCUGUACAGGCGGUGGAAACUGAAGAGCUAGAGUAUGGUAGGGGUAGAGGGAAUUCCCGGUGUAGCGGUGAAAUGCGUAGAGAUUGGAAAGAACACCGAUGGCGAAGGCACUUUACUGGGCUAUUACUAACACUCAGAGACGAAAGCUAGGGUAGCAAAUGGG
rnacentral:rRNA from 1 species